rnacentral:misc_RNA from 1 species
AAGUCGUAACAAGGUUUCCGUAGGUGAACCUGCGGAAGGAUCAUUAACACGUAUCCAACGUUAAACAACCCUGUGAACUUUCAGACGCUCUUGUAGCCCAGGCGGAACAGCAAUCCCGGUAAAUCAAUGGCGGAAAAGUUUUGAUUCGGGACCUCUGUCCAAAAGGUAGUGCAGAAGGAUCCACUGAGUAAGGAUAACGCAUCACGGUUGCCAGAGGUCGAUCACCGGCCGGCAGACAUGUCACAGGGCGCGCGCGCCCCCUCAUUCACCCCUUGCCCUCUCAAGCCUCGCGGAAACGCCGGGCAUAAAAACCGAACAACUGUUAACAAUGGAUAUCUUGGUUCUC